ensembl:lncRNA
GUAACCAGAGCUUCAGAAAGAAUCUGAUCAACAAUUUGCUUGCAUCCUUUUGAAGGGGAUGAGUUCCAGCUACAGUCAUUUUGAACACAACAGCCCACAUAAUUGGGUGUUUGCGUAUGUUCUUCCAUGAAAGGACUUGCAUGACUCCUGUCUAAUAAGCACCCUGACGUUUUCAUACAGAUCUCAUAGUAUAUUUCCAACACAAGAAAUUCCACGCUUUUACUGGCACUGUAGUAUCUGUGCAUAAUUCAGAGUGUGAGGUUAUUCUCUUACACUUCUUUAUGUUGCAGCUAUGAACGAUUGCUAACAUGGCUGUCACUUAUAAUAAAAUCCUCUGUUCUGAGAGUGAGUAAAUUUCCCCCCAACUUCACUAAAAACCGUCUGCAUUAACCACUUCAUUUGGAUAGCUGAGCAUCAAAUAGACAUCAUGCAAAAUGUCAAAAACAAUGGGAUUUCAUUUCUAAAUUAGACUCGCUGACAAGAAAUUAUGCAUAAGUCACUUUCAUUUAAAUGUUAUUUCAUAUGCAAACAUUCAAUUUAGGCUAAUGCUCACAACAAUUCAGAACCAGACUUUCUAACUCAUUUUUGACUUGAUUUGAAAUGACAAGAGUAAAAAUCACCAUUUAAUCAUAUUUACAUCUCAGAAGUUUGACAAAUUUGGUCAGUGACAUUCAUUGUUUCAAAGCUUCACAUUCCAAACACAUAUGCUUUUAAUAUACUAUAGAACAAAUAUAUUAGACAUGUUACUUCAAGAUCUACACACUAGUUCUUAAGUUAAAAACAACAUAGAAAUAUGCUUCCUGGCACAUUCACUUUUUUCCAAGUCACAUGAUAGCAUUGCGUGAGGCCCAGGCGGAAAUGCAUGCCAUUUUUUACUUAAAAACUCCCUCUCCACAGCAAGCUGCUAAAUCAAGAACCGCUGUGACUGGAUGAGUGAAUGAAUGAAUGAAUGGAUGAAUAAAGCAUUUAUAUCAGGGGUGUCAAAUUUCUGGAGGGCCGGGGCCCUGCAGGAAUUGAGUUCGAAACCCCUUAUUUAUAUAGUGCUAGUGAAGCAGAUGGACUCAUGAUCGAUUCAUUUUGAUUGAAAAACUUUCCAAAACAUGAUGUGUUUCCAGAGAGUAGUUGAGGCUUAAUCUGUUUGCAAAACAUGCAAAAUGUGCAGGUGUGACCUUCAGGUGAAAUCAUAUCACAUUAUGUCACCGUCAGAAAGCAUAAAAAUAACGUUGAAUCUAAAACAAUAAGCUCAAUCACAAAAAACAACAACAACACAGGGACACAUUUGAAAAUUUACAGAAAACACUUUACAUGAUACAGAACAGGAAAUGUUACAGUAACAAUGUUUAUGUCCUUAUAAAAUAUAACAUUUCCAUUUAAUUCUUAGUCUUUUUAAAUAACUUAA